AUUGAACGCUGGCGGCAUGCCUAACCCCUGCAAGUCGAACGAGUGGCGGACGGGUGAGUAAUGUCUGGAAACUGCCUGAUGGAGGGGGAUAACUACUGGAAACGGUAGCUAAUACCGCAUACCAUCGGAUGUGCCCAGAGGGGAUUAGCUAGUAGGGGGGGUAAAGGCUCACCUCGGCUACGAUCCCUAGCUGGUCUGAGAAGAUGACCAGCCACACUGGAACGUAGACACGGCCCAGACUCCUACGGGAGGCAGCAGUGGGGAAUAUUGCACAAUGGGCGAAAGCCUGAUGCAGCCAUGCCGCGUGUAUGAAGAAGGCCUUCGGGUUGUAAAGUACUGUCAGCGGGGAGGCGUUACCCGCAGAAGAAGCACCGGCUAACUACGUGCCAGCAGCCGCGGUAAUAC
rnacentral:rRNA from 1 species